rnacentral:rRNA from 1 species
AGCUGGUCUGAGAGGAUGAUCAGCCACAUUGGGACUGAGACACGGCCCAAACUCCUACGGGAGGCAGCAGUGGGGAAUAUUGGACAAUGGGCGCAAGCCUGAUCCAGCCAUGCCGCGUGAGUGAUGAAGGCCCUAGGGUUGUAAAGCUCUUUCACCGGUGAAGAUAAUGACGGUAACCGGAGAAGAAGCCCCGGCUAACUUCGUGCCAGCAGCCGCGGUAAUACGAAGGGGGCUAGCGUUGUUCGGAAUUACUGGGCGUAAAGCGCACGUAGGCGGAUUGUUAAGUGAGGGGUGAAAUCCCAGGGCUCAACCCUGGAACUGCCUUUCAUACUGGCAAUCUAGAGUCCAGAAGAGGUGAGUGGAAUUCCGAGUGUAGAGGUGAAAUUCGUAGAUAUUCGGAGGAACACCAGUGGCGAAGGCGGCUCACUGGUCUGGAACUGACGCUGAGGUGCGAAAGCUACGGUCGCAAGAUUAAAACUCAAAGGAAUUGACGGGGGGCCCGCACAAUGGGUGGAGCAUGUGGUUUAGUUCUAAACAACAUUCUAACCCUUACUACUAUUGACAUUACCAAUCGCGUA